ACCCUCUGGUUCCCUUUCCCAUCCGAUCCAAACACUGCUCUGGGUGAUCCUAAAAGGAGGAAAAGGAACUCUGAAGCUGACCCCACAGUGCUUUGCAGCAUGUCGGUUAGCUUCAAACAGGU
rnacentral:snoRNA from 1 species